rnacentral:rRNA from 1 species
AAGUGCAUGUGGUGGAUGCCUUGGCGAUCACAGGCGAUGAAGGACGUGCAAGCCUGCGAAAAGCGGGGGGAGCUGGCAAUAAAGCUUUGAUCCCCCGAUAUCCGAAUGGGGAAACCCACCUCUUUGAGGUAUCCCAUACUGAAUACAUAGGUAUGGGAGGCGAACCCGGUGAACUGAAACAUCUAAGUAGCCGGAGGAAAAGAAAUCAACCGAGAUUCCCCAAGUAGUGGCGAGCGAACGGGGAAGAGCCUGCUAGUGAUAGCAGCUUUGUUAGCAGAACGGAAUGGAAAGUCCGGCCGUAGUGGGUGAUAGCCCCGUAUGCGAAAACAUCGCUGUGGUACUAAGUUAGCGAAAAGUAGGGCGGGGCACGUGAAACCUUGUCUGAACAUGGGGGGACCAUCCUCCAAGGCUAAAUACUCGUGAUCGACCGAUAGUGAACCAGUACCGUGAGGGAAAGGCGAAAAGACCCGGAGGGAGUGAAUAGAACCUGAAACCGCA